ensembl:misc_RNA Metazoa_SRP Metazoan signal recognition particle RNA
GCUGGGCGUGGUGGUGCACGCCUGUAAUCCCAGCUACUUGGGAGGCUGAGGCAGGAGAAUCACUUGAAUUUGGGAGGUGGAGGUUGCAGUGAGCUGAGAUCGUGCCACUGCACUCCAGCCUGGGCAACAGAGCGAGACUCUGUCUCAA